rnacentral:rRNA from 1 species
UACGGGGGGAGCAAGCGUUGUUCGGAUUUACUGGGCGUAAAGGGCGCGUAGGCGGUCGUGACAAGUCACUUGUGAAAUCUCCGGGCUUAACUCGGAACGGUCAAGUGAUACUGUCGGACUAGAGUACAGAAGGGGCAACUGGAAUUCUCGGUGUAGCGGUGAAAUGCGUAGAUAUCGAGAGGAACACCUGCGGCGAAGGCGGCUCUCUGGAACGCAACUGACGCUGAGACGCGAAAGCGUGGGGAGCAAACAGG